AGUGAACGCUGGCGGCAUGCCUAACACAUGCAAGUCGAACGGCAGCACAGUAACAGCGUGCUCUUACGGGUGGCCGGUUGCGUAAGGGUUAGGUAUACAUCGGACUCUUCUUUUUCGAGGGGGGGAACGUAGGGAAACUAAUGCUAAUACCGCACUCGAGCUACGGGUGGGAGCAGGAGAUCCUCCGACCUUGCGCGAUUGCAUGAGCCGUUGUCGGAUUAGUUAGUUGGCGGGGUAAAGGCCCGCCAAGGCGACGAUCGGUAGCUGGGCUGAGAGGAUGAAGAGCGACAGUGGGAGUGAGACACGGCACAGACUCCUACGGGAGGCAGAAGUGGGGAAUAUUGGACAAUGGGCGGAAGCCUGAUCCAGCCAUGCCGCGUGGGUGAAGAAGGCCUUCGGGUGGUAAAGCACUUUUGUUGGGAAAGAAAGGCUGCAGCAUAAUACCCGCCUGUUCUGACGGUACCCGAAGAAUAAGCACCGGCUAACUACGUG
rnacentral:rRNA from 1 species